GAAUGCAAUAUUUGCUUUGACUUAGCUCAAGACCCCAUAGUAACUUUGUGUGGCCAUCUUUUCUGCUGGCCUUGUCUUUACAAAUGGCUCCACUUUCACUCACAAUCUAAGGAAUGCCCCGUUUGUAAGGCUUUGGUCCAGGAGGAGAAAUUGGUUCCCCUAUAUGGUAGGGGUAAAACGUCAACUGAUCCUAGAUCAAAGUCAAUACCUGGUGUUAACAUUCCUAACCGCCCAGCCGGGCAGAGGCCUGAAACAGCCCCUCCACC
rnacentral:misc_RNA from 1 species